UUUGUGGAGAGUUUGAUCCUGGCUCAGGAUGAACGCUGGCGGCGUGCUUAACACAUGCAAGUCGAACGGAAAGGCCACAGCUUGCUGUGGUACUCGAGUGGCGAACGGGUGAGUAACACGUGGGUGAUCUGCCCUGUACUUCGGGAUAAGCUUGGGAAACUGGGUCUAAUACCGGAUAGGAAUCACAUGUGGGUGUGUGGUUGGAAAGCUUUUGCGGUAUGGGAUGAGCUCGCGGCCUAUCAGCUUGUUGGUGGGGUAAUGGCCUACCAAGGCGUCGACGGGUAGCCGGCCUGAGAGGGUGUACGGCCACAUUGGGACUGAGAUACGGCCCAGACUCCUACGGGAGGCAGCAGUGGGGAAUAUUGCACAAUGGGCGCAAGCCUGAUGCAGCGACGCCGCGUGGGGGAUGACGGCCUUCGGGUUGUAAACUCCUUUCGUCAGGGACGAAGCGAAAGUGACGGUACCUGGAUAAGAAGCACCGGCUAACUACGUGCCAGCAGCCGCGGUAAUACGUAGGGUGCGAGCGUUGUCCGGAAUUACUGGGCGUAAAGAGCUCGUAGGUGGUUUGUCGCGUCGUUUGUGUAAGUCCACGGCUUAACUGUGGGAUGGCAGGCGAUACGGGCAUAACUUGAGUGCUGUAGGGGAGACUGGAAUUCCUGGUGUAGCGGUGAAAUGCGCAGAUAUCAGGAGGAACACCGAUGGCGAAGGCAGGUCUCUGGGCAGUAACUGACGCUGAGGAGCGAAAGCAUGGGUAGCGAACAGGAUUAGAUACCCUGGUAGUCCAUGCCGUAAACGGUGGGCGCUAGGUGUGAGUCCCUUCCACGGGGUUCGUGCCGUAGCUAACGCAUUAAGCGCCCCGCCUGGGGAGUACGGCCGCAAGGCUAAAACUCAAAGGAAUUGACGGGGGCCCGCACAAGCGGCGGAGCAUGUGGAUUAAUUCGAUGCAACGCGAAGAACCUUACCUGGGCUUGACAUACACC
rnacentral:rRNA from 1 species